CCUCGCUCCCAAUUUAGUCCCCGUCGCUCCCAGGGACUGGAGCACAGUUGGAUCAUGGUCAGGAGGUGACACGAGCAGCUCCAGUAAAAACCCGUCUCUCUCUCAGCCUGCUCCGUCCACACCUCUCCCUCUAUCCAGCCCAGCCUCUCCUCUCUUCAGCCUCAGAGCCAUGGAGUCUUCCCAUGAGGUCCUCUUCAUGGAUGGUCUCACUAUGAAGGAGAUAGCCCCAGCCUCGGCCCCAGAUGCCAACGUCUACACCAAGUUCAUGAGGAACCACUGCUGCUACGACGCCAUUCCAACCAGCUCCAAACUGGUCAUCUUCGACACCACCUUGCAGGUAAAAAAAGCUUUCUUUGCUCUGGUGGCGAACGGUGUUCGGGCGGCGCCUCUGUGGGAUAACAAGCUGCAGUGUUUUGUAGGUAUGCUGACCAUCACAGACUUUAUCAACAUUCUCCACCGGUAUUGGCAGUCUCCUCUGGUAGAGAUCUACGAACUGGAGGAGCACAAGAUAGAAGACUGUAGAGAGGAAUUACUGAAGUACUCCAACCAUACUCUGAUCAGUAUCACACCUGACUCCAGCCUUUUUGACGCCAUCUAUUCUCUGCUGAAGUAUAAGAUCCAUCGGCUGCCUGUGAUCGACCCAGAGUCUGGCAACGUCCUGCACAUCCUCACCCACAAACGCAUCCUCAAGUUCCUGCAUAUAUUUGGCACCAUGAUCCCGAAGCCUCGGUACCUCCAGAAGAGGAUUGAGGAGGUGGACAUCGGAACAUUUAAACAGAUCGCUACUGUCCGGGAGACGGACACGGUGUACGACGCCCUGGCCAUCUUCGUACAGCGGAGGGUUUCCGCUCUGCCAGUGGUCAAUGAGGAGGGGAAAAUCAAGGCCCUGUACUCCAGGUUUGAUGUGAUUAAUCUGGCCGCUCAGAAGAACUACAAUAACCUGAACAUGACCAUGCAGGAAGCGAUCAGUAGCAGGGCCUGCUGUGUGGACGGGGUGCUGAAGUGUUACCCUCACGAGACUCUGGAGACUAUCAUCGAUCGUAUUGCUAAGGCAGAGGUCCACCGUCUCGUGCUGGUGGAUAAAGAUGACGUGGUGGGGGGGAUCGUCUCGCUCUCUGACCUACUCCAGGCCCUGGUCUUGACCCCGGCAGGUAUUGAUGCCCUUUUCUCUUAGCACCUGACUGUGGGUUGGGGGGUCCAUCUAUCACUACCCACCACCUCCCAGCCCCUCCCCAGCCCCAACCCCAGAGAUUUCACGAAGAGCUCAAACUCUGACCACUGAAGACAAAUUGGGACACUAAUAAUGAAUGAAGACAGAAACUCUGUAAAUAUUUUUUAGAUUGUCCUCGGUAACUUUAAAAUGCUUUUUAAAAGGUUUAUUAUUUUCUGCAGGAUAACACCAAUACUUUCAUAUUUUUAUAUUCAUACUUGUGUUUGUUUAGUACUUGUUUGUAUACAUUUUUGUAUACAUUAAUGUACAUUUUAUAAAAUCUCUCCUAUCCCGUUCAAAACUAUUAUUUAUAUAUAUAUAUAUAUAUAUAUAU